AUUGAACGCUGGCGGCAGGCCUAACACAUGCAAGUCGAGCGAGCGGCGGACGGGUGAGUAAUGUCUGGGAAUCUGCCCGAUGGAGGGGGAUAACUACUGGAAACGGUAGCUAAUACCGCAUACCAUCAGAUGUGCCCAGAUGGGAUUAGCUAGUAGGUGGGGUAACGGCUCACCUAGGCGACGAUCCCUAGCUGGUCUGAGAGGAUGAGCAGACACACUGGGACUGAGACACGGUCCAGACACCUACGGGAGGCAGCAGUGGGGAAUAUUGCACAAUGGGCGCAAGCCUGAAGCAGCCAUGCCGCGUGUAUGAAGAAGGCCUUCGGGUUGUAAAGUACUUUCAGCGGGGAGGCGUUACCCGCAGAAGAAGCAACGGCUAACUCCGUGCCAGCAGCCGCGGUAAUUC
rnacentral:rRNA from 1 species